ACUUACCUAGCCAACAUGGUGAAUCAAGUUUUGAUCAGAUCACUUAAUGAUUAGGGUUGACCCAUGCUUACUAAAAAAUCAGUUCGACUGAUUUAGGUGCCCCUAGUUUUGACUUAUCUUUAUCCUCAACAUGACUUGGUGAAGUCAGUAGGAGGAUUAAUGACUUAUCAGUUGGACCAGCUUGUUUCUAAUCCAUCCUGA
rnacentral:lncRNA from 1 species